rnacentral:ribozyme from 1 species
UGCUCGCCCGUCCUCGCUCCCCUCUUCUCCUUUCUUUUCUU